rnacentral:lncRNA from 1 species
UCGAGGAUGUAUCGGCCCGUGUCGGUCUUUGUGAGUCUUUCGAGCUGAUAUAUGCGUUGUGCUUCGGUGAUCUCCUCGAGUUAUGAAAG